rnacentral:rRNA from 1 species
AAUCAACGCUGGCGGCGUGCCUAAUACAUGCAAGUCGAACGCGAAAGUCCCGCAAGGGCAAGUAGAGUGGCAAACGGGUGAGUAACGCGUGGGCGACCUACCUUCGAGUGGGGGAUAACCUUCCGAAAGGAGGGCUAAUACCGCAUGACAUCCCGUGUUUGGAUACACGGACAUCAAAGUCGGGGAUCGCAAGACCUGACGCUUGGAGAGGGGCCCGCGUCCGAUUAGCUAGUUGGUGGGGAACGGCCCACCAAGGCUUCGAUCGGUAUCCGGCCUGAGAGGGCGGACGGACACACUGGGACUGAGACACGGCCCAGACUCCUACGGGAGGCAGCAGUAGGGAAUUGUUCGCAAUGGGCGCAAGCCUGACGACGCAACGCCGCGUGGAGA